rnacentral:rRNA from 1 species
CCUACGGGAGGCAGCAGUGAGGAAUAUUGGUCAAUGGACGCAAGUCUGAACCAGCCAUGCCGCGUGCAGGAUGACGGCUCUAUGAGUUGUAAACUGCUUUUGUACGAGGGUAAACCCCGAUACGUGUAUCGGGUUGAAAGUAUCGUACGAAUAAGGAUCGGCUAACUCCGUGCCAGCAGCCGCGGUAAUACGGAGGAUCCGAGCGUUAUCCGGAUUUGUUGGGUUUAAAGGGUGCGUAGGCGGUUUGAUAAGUUAGAGGUGAAAGGUCGGGGCUCAACCCCGGAACUGCCUGUAAUACGGUUGGACUAGAGAAUAGUUGAGGUAGGCGGAAUGUAUGGUGUAGCGGUGAAAUGCUUAGAGAUCAUACAGAACACCGAUUGCGAAGGCAGCGUACCAAACUAUAUCUGACGUUGAGGCACGAAAGCGUGGGUAGCAAACAGGAUUAGAUACCCGAGUAGUC